rnacentral:rRNA from 1 species
UACGAAGGGGGCUAGCGUUGCUCGGAAUCACUGGGCGUAAAGCGCACGUAGGCGGAUUGUUAAGUCAGGGGUGAAAUCCUGGAGUUCAACUCCAGAACUGCCUUUGAUACUGGCGAUCUUGAGUCCGGGAGAGGUGAGUGGAACUGCGAGUGUAGAGGUGAAAUUCGUAGAUAUUCGCAAGAACACCAGUGGCGAAGGCGGCUCACUGGCCCGGUACUGACGCUGAGGUGCGAAAGCGUGGGGAGCAAACAGG